CCUACGGGCGGCUGCAGUGAGGAAUAUUGGUCAAUGGACGAGAGUCUGAACCAGCCAAGUAGCGUGAAGGAUGACUGCCCUAUGGGUUGUAAACUUCUUUUAUAUGGGAAUAAAACGUUCCACGUGUGGGAUUUUGUAUGUACCAUAUGAAUAAGGAUCGGCUAACUCCGUGCCAGCAGCCGCGGUAAUACGGAGGGUCCGAGCGUUAUCCGGAUUUAUUGGGUUUAACGGGAGCGUAGGUGGAUUGUUAAGUCAGUUGUGAAAGUUUGCGGCUCAACCGUAAAAUUGCAGUUGAAACUGGCAGUCUUGAGUACAGUAGAGGUGGGCGGAAUGCGUGGUGUAGCGGUGAAAUGCUUAGAUAUCACGAAGAACUCCGAUUGCGAAGGCAGUUCACUGGACUGCAACUGACACUGAGGCUCGAAAGUGUGGGUAUCAAACAGGAUUAGAUACCCCAGUAGUC
rnacentral:rRNA from 1 species